rnacentral:lncRNA from 1 species
UGCUGACAAUGAGAGAUUCUCACAGUGUGGGAGCCCAAGCGUAAGUGACACGCCAUUGCCCGAAAACCUUGGAGUGAAUUGCUCCGCAUCAAACCUUCCAAUUUCACCAAUCGGGUACUGCCCAAACCCUUGAAUGAAGUUCAUUUGGUUUCCAAUGAAUGAGUAUCCAUCUCGACUCUGCCUAUCAUCAUCAUCAAAUUUCAUCGGCAUAAGAUCAUUAGUAGCCUCAUUACCACCAGGCUUCACAUCAAUGCUGAUAGAUGGCACAUUGCUUGGUGACAGCAUCAUGUUCAUGUCACUGUUCCGCGGCUUCUUUGGACUCCCUUGUGUCAAUCCCUCCAAUUCUGAUGAUCCAAUGAGUGAAAAUCCUGACUGGUUUCUCGCAUUC